ensembl:misc_RNA Metazoa_SRP Metazoan signal recognition particle RNA
GCUGGGCGCGGUGGCUCACGCCUGUAAUCCCAGCACUCUGGGAGGCCGAGGUGGGUGGAUCACCUGAGGUCAGGAGUUCGAGACCAGCCUGGCCAACAUGGUGAAACCCCAUCUUUA